UGAAGGUCAGGCUGAAGACCUUACCCGGAUUAGCUGAGAGGUGGUGCAUGGCCGUCGUCAGUUCGUACUGUGAAGCAUCCUGUUAAGUCAGGCAACGAGCGAGACCCACGUCCACAGUUGCCAGCAUACCCUCCGGGGUGAUGGGUACACUGUGGAGACCGCCGCUGCUAAAGCGGAGGAAGGAGUGGGCAACGGUAGGUCAGUAUGCCCCGAAUCUCCCGGGCUACACGCGGGCUACAAUGGUUGGUACAAUGGGCAUCUACCCCGAAAGGGGAAGGAAAUCUCUUAAAGCCAAUCGUAGUUCGGAUUGAGGGCUGCAACUCGCCCUCAUGAAGCUGGAAUCCGUAGUAAUCGCGUUUCAACAGAACGCGGUGAAUACGUCCCUGCUCCUU
rnacentral:rRNA from 1 species